rnacentral:rRNA from 1 species
UACAGAGGGUGCGAGCGUUAAUCGGAUUUACUGGGCGUAAAGCGUGCGUAGGCGGCUUCUUAAGUCGGAUGUGAAAUCCCUGAGCUUAACUUAGGAAUUGCAUUCGAUACUGGGAAGCUAGAGUAUGGGAGAGGAUGGUAGAAUUCCAGGUGUAGCGGUGAAAUGCGUAGAGAUCUGGAGGAAUACCGAUGGCGAAGGCAGCCAUCUGGCCUAAUACUGACGCUGAGGUACGAAAGCAUGGGGAGCAAACAGGAUUAGAUACCCUGGUAGUCCAUGCCGUAAACGAUGUCUACUAGCCGUUGGGGCCUUUGAGGCUUUAGUGGCGCAGCUAACGCGAUAAGUAGACCGCCUGGGGAGUACGGUCGCAAGACUAAA